AUGAACGCUAGCGACAGGCCUAACACAUGCAAGUCGAGGGGCAGCGGGGAGGUAGCAAUACCUUUGCCGGCGACCGGCGCACGGGUGAGUAACACGUAUGCAAUCCACCUGUAACAGGGGGAUAACCCGGAGAAAUCCGGACUAAUACCCCAUAAUAUGGGCGCUCCGCAUGGAGAGUCCAUUAAAGAGAGCAAUCUUGGUUACAGACGAGCAUGCGCUCCAUUAGCCAGUUGGCGGGGUAACGGCCCACCAAGGCGACGAUGGAUAGGGGUUCUGAGAGGAAGGUCCCCCACAUUGGAACUGAGACACGGUCCAAACUCCUACGGGAGGCAGCAGUGAGGAAUAUUGGUCAAUGGUCGGCAGACUGAACCAGCCAAGUCGCGUGAGGGAAGACGGCCCUACGGGUUGUAAACCUCUUUUGUCGGAGAGUAAAGUACGCUACGUGUAGUGUAUUGCAAGUAUCCGAAGAAAAAGCAUCGGCUAACUCCGUGCCAGCAGCCGCGGUAAUACGGAGGAUGCGAGCGUUAUCCGGAUUUAUUGGGUUUAAAGGGUGCGUAGGCGGCACGCCAAGUCAGCGGUGAAAUUUCCGGGCUCAACCCGGACUGUGCCGUUGAAACUGGCGAGCUAGAGUGCACAAGAGGCAGGCGGAAUGCGUGGUGUAGCGGUGAAAUGCAUAGAUAUCACGCAGAACCCCGAUUGCGAAGGCAGCCUGCUAGGGUGCGACAGACGCUGAGGCACGAAAGCGUGGGUAUCGAACAGGAUUAGAUACCCUGGUAGUCCACGCAGUAAACGAUGAAUACUAACUGUUUGCGAUACAAUGUAAGCGGUACAGCGAAAGCGUUAAGUAUUCCACCUGGGGAGUACGCCGGCAACGGUGAAACUCAAAGGAAUUGACGGGGGCCCGCACAAGCAGUGGAGUAUGUGGUUUAAUUCGAAGCAACGCGAAGAACCUUACCAGGUCUUGACAUCCUUGGACCGCUUAAGAGAUUAAGCUUUCCCUUCGGGGACCGAGUGACAGGUGGUGCAUGGUUGUCGUCAGCUCGUGCCGUGAGGUGUCGGCUUAAGUGCCAUAACGAGCGCAACCCCUAUGGACAGUUACUAACGGGUGAAGCCGAGGACUCUGUCUAGACUGCCGGCGCAAGCCGCGAGGAAGGUGGGGAUGACGUCAAAUCAGCACGGCCCUUACGUCCGGGGCGACACACGUGUUACAAUGGCAGGUACAGAAGGCAGCCAGUCAGCAAUGACGCGCGAAUCCCGAAAACCUGUCUCAGUUCGGAUUGGAGUCUGCAACCCGACUCCAUGAAGCUGGAUUCGCUAGUAAUCGCGCAUCAGCCAUGGCGCGGUGAAUACGUUCCCGGGCCUUGUACACACCGCCCGUCAAGCCAUGGAAGCCGGGAGUACCUGAAGCAUGCAACCGCAAGGAGCGUACGAAGGUAAUACCGGUAACUGGGGCU
rnacentral:rRNA from 1 species